rnacentral:rRNA from 1 species
GACGGAGGGUGCAAGCGCUGUUCGGAUUGACUGGGCGUAAAGGGCGUGUAGGCGGUCGGCCAAGUCUGAUGUGAAAGCUCGGGGCUCAGCUCCGGAAGUGCAUCGGAAACUAGUCGGCUGGAGCGCGAUAGAGGAGGGUAGAAUUCCUGGUGUAGCGGUGAAAUGCGUAGAUAUCAGGAGGAAUACCGGCGGCGAAGGCGGCCCUCUGGAUCGUUGCUGACGCUGAGACGCGAAGGCGUGGGGAGCAAACAGG